rnacentral:rRNA from 1 species
UACGUAGGGUGCAAGCGUUAUCCGGAAUCAUUGGGCGUAAAGAGCGUGUAGGCGGCCACUUAAGUCCUGCGUGAAAUCUUGCGGCUCAACCGCAAGCGGUCGUGGGAAACUGGGUGGCUAGAGUGCGGGAGAGGAGAGUGGAAUUCCGUGGUGUAGCGGUGGAAUGCGCAGAUAUCAGGAAGAACACCCGUGGCGAAGGCGGCUCUCUGGAACGCAACUGACGCUGAGACGCGAAAGCGUGGGGAGCAAACAGG